CUGCCAGCAGCUGGCGGCGGUGCGGCUGAGCCCGCAAGCGCGAGAGGAGGGGCGGGGGCUGCAAGGACUUUAGGAAGAGGGGCCGGAGUCUCGGAAGCCAAGGUAGCCGGAUCAGCAUGAUGUCAUCAUUGUGGUCAUUGGCAGAGAGAUCCGCAUUGAACCCAGGAUGGGGGAAGAAAUCCGUGGCCAGAAGCAGCUUCUCGGGGCCCUCCCACUGCCACAGUCUGUCAUCCAGCACUCAGGAGGCAGAGACAAGAAGACCAGGAGUUCAAGGACAUCAUUGGCUGCAUAGCAGGUUCAAGGCCAGCCUGGACUGUGUGAAUCCUGUCUGAAAAAAAAAUCCAAGAUUUGAAGAUUGUAUUAAACCUAAUGCUCAAAGAUUCUAGACUCCCAGUAGUCCAGGACAGUAAGACAAGAGUUUUGUCAGUCCAGCAGUUCAAGACAGUAAGACAGGAGUUCUGUCAGUCUAGCUAUCUAGGACAGUAAGACAGGAGUUCCGUCAGUCUAGCUGUCUCUAAACAUUUGAUUUAGAAAACUUUAGGCAUCCACAGUCAAGAGCACCUGAGAGAAGCCCUCUUACUUCAUAAGAUUCUGCAGUAGUGGGAUUCUGGGACAUUAAACCCACCAGAUUUACAUGUU